CCCUUAGAUGUUCUGGGCUGCACGCGCGCUACACUGACGCACGCAACAGGUGCCUGCUCCGAGAGGACUGGGUAAUCAUUUGAGUGUGCGUCGUGAUGGGGAUAGAAUAUUGUAAUUAUUACUCUUCAACGAGGAAUUCCUAGUAAGCGCCAGUCAGCAGCUUGCGCUGAUUACGUCCCUGCCCUUUGUACACACCGCCCGUCGCUCCUACCGAUGGGUGAUCCGGUGAAUGAUUCGGACUGCAGCAGUGUUCGGUCACGAACGUUGCAGCGGAAAGUUUAGUGAACCUUAUCACUUAGAGGAAGGAGAAGUCGUAACA
rnacentral:rRNA from 1 species